rnacentral:rRNA from 1 species
UACGUAGGGGGCAAGCGUUGUCCGGAAUCAUUGGGCGUAAAGCGCGUGUAGGCGGCCCGAUAAGUCCGCUGUGAAAGUCCAGGGCUCAACCCUGGAAUGCCGGUGGAUACUGUCGGGCUCGAGUCCGGAAGAGGCGAGUGGAAUUCCUGGUGUAGCGGUGAAAUGCGCAGAUAUCAGGAGGAACACCAAUGGCGAAGGCAGCUCGCUGGGACGGUACUGACGCUGAGGAGCGAAAGCAUGGGGAGCGAACAGG